UACAUUGUGCGCUUGGGAGA
rnacentral:misc_RNA from 1 species